AAAACUCCAUCAUUAGAUAGCAGGGUCCAUUUGAACUACACAGCUGCCUACUUACACAUACUUCCACUAAUGUCACAUUUGUCCAAGCAGCAGAACUCUUUUGAUUAGACUGUAUGUUAAAGGCAGACCUUUAUAAAUUCCCUUCUCUGCACUGGACCAGAAUAAGCUGACUGUGACUAGAAAAGGGAAUGUAUGCAGUCAGCACACAGAUACAGAAGGGGAGGGACAACUACGCUUAGCAGUGACAAACCAUCUGCUGCCACAAUCACUAGCCAUAAGAGGUUGAAGUGUUUAUCACAACCACAGCUACAUUUUCCAUUAUCCCAAAAUAAGAUUCUUUCAGAAUUCCUUAUAUGGGCUCAAGGAGACUCCAAAUUCUCUGGUGUCUUGGAGAAUGCACAGGAAUAGCCCAGGAACUUUUUUGUUGCAUUUUUUAUUGAGUUUUGGUCAACAUAAAUACUCUGCUAUUUUUGUUAGUGGAGAUACAUUGUUUAUGUAAUCCAAUCCAGAGUAUUUACAACACUACAGAUAUUAAAAGAAGUGAUUUUAGAAUUUUAUGAUGAAUUCUUCAUUAUGCAGGUAUGACAAUUAUCUUGUUACUAUUUUCUAGCCAGUGACAUAUGCACCCAUCUUAUACCACAUACCAUAACAACAGUAAAGUCUGGUGUGUCUAUCACCGUCUCUCUUUCUCUCUCUCUCUCUCUCUCUCUCUCUCUCUCUCUCUCUCUCUCUCUCUCUCUCUCUCUCUCUCUCUCACACACACACACACACACACACACACACACACACACACACACACACACACACACACACACACACACACACACACACACACACAAACUAAUUAAACAUGCUACAAUUUACUAACUGAACUUAUAUUACUUUAGGACUAGUUUAAAAUAGCCAGAUAGUAUAAAACAGUGAUAUUAAACUACAAUUUGACUUUAAAUAUGGAUAUAAUAAGACAAAUCAAUUAAAAAUAAUUAUGUUUUUUUUUUCACAGUUGUGCUUCAUGUUACUGCUGGUUAAGGAACAAUCUUGCUCUUCUGUGGUUGUUGAGUUACCAUAAUGCAUGCCUAAUUCUGGGAAGGUGAAGACCCUGCAUAUGGUUUGUUGUGCUCUGGUACAGUGAAAUACAGCUCACAAAUUUACUUGUGCCACUGGAGAUAAAAAUAUUUUACUGUAAAUGCUGCAGUUGACAAAGUUUAGAGGCCUAGCAGAGAUUUUAAUAUCCAAAAAGUACAAAAAAGAAUCAACAACCAAUGCUCUACAAUUUGGGAAGUAGUAAGAGUAAGAACUUGAAAAGAUAUAGUAUACAUUUAGCUUGGGGUUACUGUACUCAUUCUUUUAUCACUUUCAAGGAUAAAAAUACAUUUCUCCUGCAUUGAAAAUCAGUUUGAAUGUGAACAAGUCCUCAGGCCCAAGGUGCAGUGCUGCAUCUCUGGUCAGUUGGGAGUCUGAGAUGAAGCACUGUAGCACGGGAAGAGGGACACUGCUACUGUAAGCAUUCAUCAGCAUUUGCAUUACCUUUUUAUUAGUAUUAAAAUGUAGAUUAAAUAUUUUGCGAGUAAAAAUAGCAGCACUUCCAGUUGCUAUUAUUCAGCAUUUUAGCUCAGCACAUACAGUAACUUUACUCUAUUUGGUUCAGUAAUUUGCUUGGAUAAAAUCUUUGGUUAAAUGUAUAAAUUUAAAAUGCAUUUUACUUACCUCCUUUUGUCUAAUACACAUUUUCUUCCCUUUCCCCAGGGUCCAGUUUUCCCAGGAAUCCCAUGGGAAUUUACAAAGGGGAUUCCUGGAAAUACUGUUCUUGGGGGUGGGGUUAGACAUCAUGAAUGUCAGUUAAAUAAUAUUAUAAAAUACUAUAAUUACUCAUUAAUUUUGUGGUUAACAUGAGAAAAACAAAUAAUAAACAUGCAUUUGAAACAACAUUUAUCAAGUAUCUUGCAAUUCAAACAUUAACAGAAUGUAACACUCAUAAUAAAUCUGAAUUUAAACCAAA